rnacentral:rRNA from 1 species
GUGGGGUCCCACCUGACCCCAUGCCGAACUCAGAAGUGAAACGCCGUAGCGCCGAUGGUAGUGUGGGGUCUCCCCAUGCGAGAGUAGGGAACUGCCAGGC